CUGUCCUACGGGGCGCAGCAGCGGGGAAUAUUGCGCAAUGGACGAAAGUCUGACGCAGCGACGCCGAGUGAGGGAUGAAGGUUUUCGGAUCGUAAACCUCUGUCAGGAGGGAAGAAAGCGCAUGGCGCCAAUCAGCCAUGCGUUGACGGUACCUCCAAAGGAAGCGCCGGCUAACUCCGUGCCAGCAGCCGCGGUAAUACGGAGGGCGCGAGCGUUAAUCGGCAUUACUGGGCGUAAAGCGCGCGUAGGCUGUUGUGUAAGUUGGGGGUGAAAUCCCACGGCUAAACGGUGGAACAGACCUUGAU
rnacentral:rRNA from 1 species